GACGAACGCUGGCGGCGUGCCUAAUACAUGCAAGUCGAACGCAGUGGCGGACGGGUGAGUAACACGUGGGUAACUACCCAUCAGAGGGGGAUAACUAUUGGAAACGAUAGCUAAUACCGCAUACUAGUAGAUGGACCUGCGUUGUAUUAGCUGGUAGGUAGGGGAAUGGCCCACCUAGGCAACGGUACAUAGCCGACCUGAGAGGGGGAUCGGCAACACUGGGACUGAGACACGGCCCAGACUCCUACGGGAUGCAGCAGUAGGGAAUCUUCGGCAAUGGGGGGAAGCCUGACCGAGCAACGCCGCGUGAGUGAAGAAGGUUUUCGGAUCGUAAAGCUCUGUUGUUAAGGAAGCGGUACUUAACCAGAAAGGGACGGCUAACUACGUGCCAGCAGCCGCGGUAAUAC
rnacentral:rRNA from 1 species